ACCAGACUCCUACGGGAGGCAGCAGUGAGGAAUAUUGGUCAAUGGGCUUACGCCUGAACCAGCCAAGUCGCGUGAGGGAUGACGGUCCUAUGGAUUGUAAACCUCUUUUGUCAGGGAGCAAAGGGCGCCACGUGUGGCGUUUUGCGAGUACCUGAAGAAAAAGCAUCGGCUAACUCCGUGCCAGCAGCCGCGGUAAUACGGAGGAUGCGAGCGUUAUCCGGAUUUAUUGGGUUUAAAGGGUGCGUAGGCGGCGUGUCAAGUCCGCGGUAAAAUUUCGGGGCUCAACCCCGUCGUGCCGUUGAAACUGACGCCCUUGAGUGAGUGAGAAGUAAGCGGAAUGCGUGGUGUAGCGGUGAAAUGCAUAGAUAUCACGCAGAACUCCGAUUGCGAAGGCAGCAUACCGGCGCGCAACUGACGCUCAUGCACGAAAGCGUGGGUAUCGAACAGGAUUAGAUACCCCGGUAA
rnacentral:rRNA from 1 species